CCUUCCUCAGCCUGUCGGGAGCAGACGGCAGUGGCGGUGGCCCCAAAGGAGGGACCGCUGACAAAGGAGCCUCAGCCAACCAGGAAAAAGGCUAAAUCCACCCUUACCCCUCCUGACCCCCCAAGUGGAGGGAACAGAUCCUGGCCUGAGGGGUCCUAGCCUGGAGCAGGCGCCUGCGCCCAGACCCUGGAGAGCCUUGACCCAGAGCCUGUGCUGAGGUCCAGGGAGUGUGGAGAGCUCCUGGUGUCAAGGACUGAGACUGAGAGGGGAGCCCCCUCCAUCUGGCCCCCUUCC
rnacentral:lncRNA from 1 species